rnacentral:tRNA from 1 species
GCAGUCGUGGCCCGAGUGGUUAAGGCGAUGGAUUAGAAAUUCAUUGGGGUCUCCCCGCACAUGUUCGAAUCAUGUCGACUGCG